rnacentral:rRNA from 1 species
UUAAAUAUCAAUACCACCCUGGAUGCACCCAAUCUCAUCUGAUCUCAGAAGCUAAGCAGGGUCAGGCCUGGUUAGUACUUGGAUGGGAGGCCUCCUGGGAAUACUGGGUGCUAUAGGCU